CUGUCUCGAUACUAGCUGUAUGUAUAAACACAUGCAGUCGAGCGCUCACUUCGGUGGGAGCGGCGGACGGGUUAGUAACGCGUGGGAACGUGCCCAGAUCUAAGGAAUAGCCACUGGAAACGGUGAGUAAUACCUUAUACGCCCUUCGGGGGAAAGAUUUAUCGGAUUUGGAUCGGCCCGCGUUAGAUUAGAUAGUUGGUGGGGUAAUGGCCUACCAAGUCUACGAUCUAUAGCUGGUUUUAGAGGAUGAUCAGCAACACUGGGACUGAGACACGGCCCAGACUCCUACGGGAGGCAGCAGUGGGGAAUCUUGGACAAUGGGGGCAACCCUGAUCCAGCCAUGCCGCGUGAGUGAUGAAGGCCUUAGGGUCGUAAAGCUCUUUCGCCAGGGAUGAUAAUGACAGUACCUGGUAAAGAAACCCCGGCUAACUCCGUGCCAGCAGCCGCGGUAAUACGGAGGGGGUUAGCGUUGUUCGGAAUUACUGGGCGUAAAGCGCGCGUAGGCGGAUUGGAAAGUUGGGGGUGAAAUCCCGGGGCUCAACCCCGGAACUGCCUCCAAAACUAUCAGUCUAGAGUUCGAGAGAGGUGAGUGGAAUUCCGAGUGUAGAGGUGGAAUUCGUAGAUAUUCGGAGGAACACCCAGUGGGCGAAGGGCGGGCUCACCUGGCCUCCGAUUACUGGACGCCUGAGGGUGGGCAAAAAGUGGUGGGGGGAGGGCAAAACCGGGGAAUUUAGAAUACCCCUGGGGAAAU
rnacentral:rRNA from 1 species